UAUGCUAAGGGGGAAGUAUUACCCCUUAGCAUAUAUAUGUAGCAUGUAGCA
rnacentral:ncRNA from 1 species